UACGUAGGGCGCAAGCGUUGUCCGGAAUUAUUGGGCGUAAAGAGCUCGUAGGCGGCCUGUUACGUCUGCUGUGAAAUCCCGGGGCUUAACCCCGGGCGUGCAGUGGAUACGGGCAGGCUGGAGGCAGGCAGGGGAGAACGGAAUUCCCGGUGUAGCGGUGAAAUGCGCAGAUAUCGAGAGGAAUACCUGUGGCGAAGGCGGCCAACUGGACGAGUACUGACACUGAGACACGAAAGCGUGGGGAGCAAACAGG
rnacentral:rRNA from 1 species